AGGCCUAUGAUGAUAUCUUUAACAAAGUUGGAAUUACCGGCUGAGGUUGAAAAACCUUGUAUGAUGCAAGCUAUGUCUGGCUAUCUGAGGCUUAAG
rnacentral:snoRNA from 1 species